rnacentral:rRNA from 1 species
GACGAACGCUGGCGGCGUGCCUAAUACAUGCGAGUCGAACGCUGAAGGAGGAGCUUGCUCGUCGGGAUGAGUUGCGAACGGGUGAGUAACGCGUAGGUAACCUGCCUGGUAGCGGGGGAUAACUAUUGGAAACGAUAGCUAAUACCGCAUAACAGUAGAUGUUGCAUGACAUUUACUUAAAAGGUGCAAUUGCAUCACUACCAGAUGGACCUGCGUUGUAUUAGCUAGUUGGUGGGGUAACGGCUCACCAAGGCGGCGAUACAUAGCCGACCGGAGAGGGUGAUCGGCCACACUGGGAGUGAGACACGGCCCAGACUCCUACGGGAGGCAGCCGUAGGGAAUCUUCGGCAAUGGACGGAAGUCUGACCGAGAAACGCCGCGUGAGUGAAGAAGGUUUUCGGAUCGUAAAGCUCUGUUGUAAGAGAAGAACGCGUGUGAGAGUGGAAAGUUCACACUGUGACGGUAGCUUACCAGAAAGGGACGGCUAACUACGUG